AGUGAACGCUGGCGGUAGGCCUAACACAUGCAAGUCGAACGGCAGCACAGUAAGAGCUUGCUCUUACGGGUGGCGAGUGGCGGACGGGUGAGGAAUACAUCGGAAUCUACUUUUUCGUGGGGGAUAACGUAGGGAAACUUACGCUAAUACCGCAUACGACCUACGGGUGAAAGCAGGGGAUCUUCGGACCUUGCGCGAUUGAAUGAGCCGAUGUCGGAUUAGCUAGUUGGCGGGGUAAAGGCCCACCAAGGCGACGAUCCGUAGCUGGUCUGAGAGGAUGAUACGCCACACUGGAACUGAGACACGGUCCAGACUCCUACGGGAGGCAGCAGUGGGGAAUAUUGGACAAUGGGCGCAAGCCUGAUCCAGCCAUACCGCGUGGGUGAAGAAGGCCUUCGGGUUGUAAAGCCCUUUUGUUGGGAAAGAAAAGCAGCAGGUUAAUACCCCGCUGUUCUGACGGUACCCAAAGAAUAAGCACCGGCUAACUUCGU
rnacentral:rRNA from 1 species